rnacentral:rRNA from 1 species
CCUACGGGGGGCUGCAGUGGGGAAUAUUGGACAAUGGGCGAAAGCCUGAUCCAGCCAUGCCGCGUGUGUGAAGAAGGCCUUCGGGUUGUAAAGCACUUUCAGUGGGGAAGAAAGCCUUGGGGCUAAUACCCUCGAGGAAGGACAUCACCCACAGAAGAAGCACCGGCUAACUCCGUGCCAGCAGCCGCGGUAAUACGGAGGGUGCGAGCGUUAAUCGGAAUUACUGGGCGUAAAGCGCGCGUAGGCGGUCUGAUAAGCCGGUUGUGAAAGCCCCGGGCUCAACCUGGGAACGGCAUCCGGAACUGGCAGGCUAGAGUGCAGGAGAGGAAGGUAGAAUUCGCGGUGUAGCGGUGAAAUGCGUAGAGAUCGGGAGGAAUACCAGUGGCGAAGGCGGCCUUCUGGACUGACACUGACGCUGAGGUGCGAAAGCGUGGGUAGCGAACAGGAUUAGAUACCCGAGUAGUC